CUCCCAGGGCCGCAGGGACGUGUCUGCCACUUCCUAGAGUGGCGCGGAGCCAGGGCAGGCAGGGAGCCUGCUUUAGCCCCGCUGUGCCGCCGGACUUUUAGCAGCCUAAAAUCUCCCAAUUUGGCUUCAGUAGCCGCUGGAAGAUAAAGCCCGAUUCCGGGAGACUCUGGGUGAAACCGAGAGGGUUGGCAACCCUAACUGUCUCCCAUAUCUCUUUAA